rnacentral:misc_RNA from 1 species
GUAGGUGAACCUGCGGAAGGAUCAUUAUCAUAACGUAUCCACGUAUAAACCAAUCUUUAAUGUGAAAUGUAAUGUAAAAGCCUUUGUUAGUCAGUGAUUGCUGUUUAGUUUCUACUUCUUAUUGAUUAAGGGAACUAGAUGGACUUGGUUUAACGACCUAGCAUUGAUUAUCAAAUGUAAUUAUUAAUCAAUUUAUUAACCCAUUGAACCGAUUAACUUAUUAUUAGUUAUUCAUUUCUUUUAUUGUGAA